rnacentral:rRNA from 1 species
CCUACGGGCUGCACCAGUGGGGAAUAUUGGACAAUGGGCGAAAGCCUGAUCCAGCAAUGCCGCGUAUGUGAAGAAGGUCUUCGGAUUGUAAAGCACUUUCGACGGAGACGAUGAUGACGGUACCCGUAGAAGAAGCCCCGGCUAACUUCGUGCCAGCAGCCGCGGUAAUACGAAGGGGGCUAGCGUUGCUCGGAAUGACUGGGCGUAAAGGGCGCGUAGGCGGUUUAUGCAGUCAGAUGUGAAAUCCCCGGGCUUAACCUGGGAACUGCAUUUGAGACGCAUAGACUAGAGGUCGAGAGAGGGUUGUGGAAUUCCCAGUGUAGAGGUGAAAUUCGUAGAUAUUGGGAAGAACACCGGUGGCGAAGGCGGCAACCUGGCUCGAUACUGACGCUGAGGCGCGAAAGCGUGGGGAGCAAACAGGAUUAGAUACCCUUGUAGUC